CUUUCUCUCCUUUUUUUUUAUUUUUUUAUUUUUUUUUUAUCUUGUUCUUUACCUGUGUUUCUCUUUCUGCUACUCUCUUCCUUCCUCUUAGUGGUGGAUCUUAAAUUACGAUGGAGUACGGCGGUGGUCGCAAUAGAGGCAGGCCUGAGGCUGCUUUGAAUGGCAAUGGUGGCCCUAAGAAAACCCAACAAGGGAAAAAAAGCAUUAACUUCAUCAGGAGGAGGAGAUCAUGCGUGCAUGAGGGAAAAUCAAGUGUGAAUUCUCUAGCAAUGCAUUGAGGAGGAGGUAUCGCGCCUCAGGUAACAGAGUGAAGAGCAGUUUCACUCUAUGUAGGAGGAGAUGAGGUAGAUGGCGUAUCAUCCCGCCCUUAAAGUGAUUCUGUUGAUCCCCAUGAUCAGAGCACGCUGAAUCUAUAGCUUGAUCAUGUUUAUACACAUUUGCUAAUUGAACUUGUUACUUGUAUGGUUAACUUUGUACUUUUAUAUAAUAUAUGGUAUUUUUAUUUUCUAA